UACGAGGGGGGCGAGCGUUGUUCGGAAUUACUGGGCGUAAAGGGCGCGCAGGCGGCUCAUCAAGUCAGAUGUGAAAUCCCGAGGCUCAACCUCGGAACUGCGUCUGAAACUACUCGACUAGAGUACUGGAGAGGGUAACGGAAUUCACGGUGUAGCAGUGAAAUGCGUAGAUAUCGUGAGGAACACCAGAGGCGAAGGCGGUUACCUGGACAGUUACUGACGCUCAGGCACGAAAGCAUGGGGAGCAAAAGGG
rnacentral:rRNA from 1 species